AAGUCGGAAUCGCUAGUAAUCGUGGAUCAGAAUGCCACGGUGAAUACGUUCCCGGGCCUUGUACACACCGCCCGUCACACCAUGGGAGUGGGUUGCAAAAGAAGUAGGUAGCUUAACCUUCGGGAGGGCGCUUACCACUUUGUGAUUCAUGACUGGGGUGAAGUCGUAACAAGGUAACCGUAGGGGAACCUGCGGUUGGAUCACCUCCUUACCUUAAAGAAGC
rnacentral:rRNA from 1 species